rnacentral:rRNA from 1 species
GACGAACGCUGGCGGUGUGCUUAACACAUGCAAGUCGAACGGUAAGGCCCUUUCGGGGGUACACGAGUGGCGAACGGGUGAGUAACACGUGAGUAACCUGCCCUCAGCUCUUGGAUAACAGUCGGAAACGGUUGCUAAUACUGGAUAUGAGCCUGCAAGGCAUCUUGUGGGUUGGAAAGAUUUUUUGGUUGGGGAUGGACUCGCGGCCUAUCAGCUUGUUGGUGAGGUAGUGGCUCACCAAGGCUUCGACGGGUAGCCGGCCUGAGAGGGCGACCGGCCACAUUGGGACUGAGAUACGGCCCAAACUCCUACGGGAGGCAGCAGUGGGGAAUAUUGCACAAUGGACGGAAGUCUGAUGCAGCAACGCCGCGGGCGGGAUGACGGGCUUCGGGUUGGAAACCGCGUUCAAUUGUGACGAAGCUUUUUGUGACGGUAGCAGUAGAAGAAGCACCGGCUAACUACGUG